CCUUUGGAGUAAAAAAUUUCAACAUCUUACUUAAAUCUCCUCUCCUUUAAACCAUUCCCUCUUGUCCUACCUCUGUUUGCCCACACAAAAAGGCUGUCCCCCUCCUGCUUAUAAACUCCCUUUAAGUACUGAAGGGCUGCAGUAUGGUCUACCAGGAGCACUCGCCAGGCUGAGCAUGCUCAACACCCUCAACUUUUCUCCAUAGGACCAGCUCUCUGAUCAUCUUAGUGGACCCGUUCCAACAACUCCAUGUCCUUCCUGUGCUGUGUGUCCCCAAAGCUGUACUCUGUACUCCUGAUGGGGCCUCACAAGGGCAGAGGAGAGGGGGACAAUUACCUCCCUUGUCUUGAUGGCCACCCCUCUUAAUGCAACCCAUGAUACAGAUGCAAACCUCCUGAGCUGUGUAAUUUUAACGGGGCGGCCAAUAGGUGAGUCUAUUUCUCCAUGAAGUUUCCUCAAACUUGUUGUUUUUAAGUUACACUACAGGCCUUGCAGUACUGAAGGAAGACAAGAAACACAGAAUAACACUUACCUUGUAUUGGGCAGUAUUCUGGCUGUAGUCAGUAAAUAACUUUCAGCAAUUAACUGAACUUGAAUGGAAUGGGACCUACACAAAGGUUGAGGCCAACUGCCUAACCACUUCAGGGCUAGUCAAAAGUUAAAGUAUAUUAAUGAGGGAAUUAUCCAAAUGCCUUUUAGAUUCCAAUAGCUGUGGGACAUCAACCACCUUUCUGGAACCCUGUCCCAGUGUUUAACCACCUUCAUAAUAACAAAUUUUUUCCUUAUAUCCAGUCAGAACCUCCCCCGGCUCAGCUUUGUGCCAUUUCCUCAUGUUCAAUCAAUGCUUACCAGAGAGAAGAGAUCAGCACCUCUCUCUCUUCAUUUCCUCUCUCAGCCUCCUUUUCUCCAAACCAGAUAACCCAAGUGUCCUCAGCCUCCUCUGUAAGACAUGUUUUCCAGGCCUUUUACCAGCUUUGUUACCUUCCUCUGGUCGCAUUCAAAUAUCCUAAGAUCUGCUAUUUUUUGUGGAGCCCAGAACUGCAUGUAAUGUUCAAUACGAGGCUGCACCAAUGCUAAAUACAGUGAGAUAAUCACCUCUUUCCAUCAGAUGUCUAUGCUGCCUUUAAUGCAUCCUAAAAAACAGAUUGCCCCUUAGCUACCAGGGCACACCACUGGCUUGUGCUGAGCCUGCUGUCAGCAGCACCCCCAGAUCUGCCGAGCUGCUCACCAUCACUCACCUUGCAGCCUGUGCCUGUAUCCAGUGUUACUGUAUUCCAGAUGCAAUACCAGUAGGUGGUCAGUUACCUUUGUUGAAUUCCCUGGUGCUGAUUACUGUUCAAUUCUCCAGUCUAUCCAAAUCUUUCUUGUAGGAUCUCUCGUCCUUCCCCAGAGAGUCAACAGCAUCUCCCCAGUUCAGUAUCACCAGAGAACUUGUUAAGGAUGCAUUCCAUUCUGCAUCCAGGUGAUUGAUAAAAAUGCUAAACAGAAUUUAUAUAAGCUUUAAUGAUUCAAAUGAGUUUAUGACAGCGUACCAGAAUGUUUCAGUGUUUCGGUCUUUUUAAAACUGUUAAUAAAGAUCAAGCAAGGCUUUGGAAAACCAACAUGGAGGGUCCAGGUUGUUGUGCGGAUUGCCUCUGGGGACAGUAAUAAAAAAUGUCAUGUAAAGUGGUAUCAUAGAGGGAUAUUUUAUCAGCUCCAAUGAUCAAAAAGUCCGUAGAACUUCACCACUGAAGUACAGAAAAUGUCAAUCAUAGUAAUGAGUGUCAAUGUGACAUCCUGUAAUUGAUAUUCAGACUUGCACUGUUUUUAGCCCUUUUUCCAAAGACUAGAAUGAAUGAAGUUUAAAGCUGAAAUAACUGCAUUCAGGUACUGAUACGCCUGCAGAAUGCCUGGCAGUUUCUGCUUGAUCUUUAAAAAUAGCAAUUCUGAAUUUAUUUCUUUAUAUUUUAACUCUUGCUAUGGAAUUUAGGUCACCAUUUAUUAAAAUGCUAAUACUUUUGAAACAAAACGUGGCAAUACACUGGCCCUACAGAAGAAAAUUCAAGUAAUUUCUGUACUAUUAGAGAGCCAGAACAUAAUAAACUAAUAUUUAGUGUUGUAGGCAGUUCUCACAUGUCUUGUAAACAUACUCAUUUAAAAUCUUUUUAGUCUCAGAAACCUUUUCUUUUGUUAUAAAUAAGACAUUGCUAAAGCAACUGUCAGAAAAUUGACUUCUUUAAAUAGCUAGAAUGUCAAGUUCCUCUUUGAAUAAUCUCAGGUCACUUUAAUGUUUGGUCAGCCAGCUAGUUUUACUAUAGAUCUUAAAGUUGGAAUAUUUGGCAGAAUAUGUACCAAAUAAUAGGCUUCCUACAUUUGCAGAUUAUCUGCACAUUGCACUCAUUUAAAAUUAUACACACAAUUGACUGAAAAUCAGUAGAGACACCCAAAGUUGAUGUAACAUGAAGUACUACAAUUGUAACCAGGUCUAUUUUGUAGUUUGAGGCGGAAGAAGAAGCACCGAAGCUGAUACUGCAUUCUCUUUUACUAUUUCACUCAGUAUCAAAAAAGCCUGAAAGACAGCCAUUCUGUAAGUUGAACUGAAAAGUCAGCUUCUCAAUUCCAUUGAAAUUAUAGGCCUCUAUUACUGAAAAUGUAUAUUUGUGCUCUGUUCUUUCUUAUUUAAACAAUCAUAUAGAUUUCAUUAGCACUGUGCAAUGACAAGAGAACCAUAUUUUUCAGAAACCAGUGUUUGAAACCAGCAGGAUAAAACAGCAGCUCCAAGAAAAUGGAACAACUUCUUGCAAGCAUCCCUAAUAGAGGGCAAAGAAACCACACCAAUCUGCAAAUAAGCAGCUCUUUGUUUCCCUUAGAAGUAGGUUUCAUUCUUUGUACACUGGAAUGAUUCAAAAGAGCCAAAUAACUGAGUGGCAAAUUAUCUUCUUCCUGGAGGAACAGCCACUUUCCACGUGAGUGCAGUACCGCUUUCCGUAGGCUUUCCCAUGUAUUACAGACUGCUACCUCAGAGUGGCUGAGCAAACCCUAUUUGUACAGUAAAAACCAAACAUCAGAGGGCAUAAACAAAGUUUAACAGAUAGUCACUGCAGAGUAUUUAAAAAUAGGAUUGGGGGAUAAUACAGAUUGGAAGGAGCCUCAGACAGUCAUCUAAUACAAGUUCCUGUUCAAAGCAGUAGAACUUGGUGAAGUUUCACUUGAACUGGCUCAUGAAGCAUCUUUAAUGUUUGUGAAGAAAAAAGGCUGUAAAUUUUCCUCUGUAAGUGUUAUUUUCUGCUGAAUAGUCUUCCAUCUGCAUAGAAUAAUGAUGGAAUAAUAUUUUGUUUUGAAUGUUUAAGUACUGGUUUAACUCAGUACCCCUCUUUAUAACUCAGAAUAUCUUUCCAGAUGGCUGUCGGAAGAACUGCAUUGUAAGCUGAGAAAGGAGAAGAAGCAGGGAUUAGACAUUGCACAGAAUCUGCGUAGCUCAUGAAUAGCAACAGCUAAGCUCUGUGAUAAAACAGUGUGAACAUCAGCUCGCAAAUUUGUGGGUCUCCAUUCUUGUCCGAACAUAAUGCCUGUGACUUGCAGGUUACACUGAAUUUGCAAACUCAUUUAACUGGAUAGUUUUGCUACUGAUUUUGGGGGAUAAAAUGAGCAAGCAACAGCAGUAAAGUCAACUAAAUGUACUUAAGAAGUUAACAUCUCAAAUGAUAUCCACAGAUUUUCUUUAUGAUUUCCAUUUCAGUAAUGUACAUUCCUUAAAAUACUUUAAAGUUUGGCUCAAAACCUAGUAAGUUCAAGCAUAGAGCAGCAGAGUAUUAAAAUGCAACUGCAAAUUGUCUUCAUGCUCUGUCAUAAAUAAAGCCAAUAUAAAGGUCCUACUGCCCUUAACAGAUAGUAAGCAAAUGCUGCUUGCUCUUACGACAGCUCUACACAAAGUCACUUCUCAAAUGUUUUUACUUCAUU